CAUCCAUGAAGGUGGUUUAAAUAUUUACUUAAGUACACUUACUGUACUUCAAAGUGUGUCCAUUUGAAAUUAAUGAGAUUUCCUUGCUUUUUAUGGAAGCUAAUGUCAGGUGCACUACCCACUAAUGAUAUCCUUUGUAUAAAGGGAUAAAUGCAGUACAGAUGUCUGGGGCUUGAUCAGUGUGGGAAGUUGAGUGAGAAAUAGUAACGGGGCCUACUGAAAUGGGUUUCCUGCCACUACCUUUCCUCAGUUUGAGCCAAACAGGCAUAUUGUCUCACCCACCACUCCUGUUAUCAGUUGUAGGUCCCCUGGACUCUUAGAAAGUCCAGGAAGGGAUCU